rnacentral:misc_RNA from 1 species
UAAAAAACAUAUUUUCUUCUUCUACUUGUGUUUGUUGUUAUUGUUGUUAUUUGCUUCUUUUUUUUUCUUCUGACUCCAAAAUAUAUCCAAAAUAUUAAAUAUCCGUGAGACAUCGAUUCGAAUUCUCUGAAGAGGCGAAUAUUGACCUGCGAAAUCCCCCUGGUUCUGAAUUUGAGGAAGGAUCCUUGUCCUUUGCUGCUGUUUGGUUACGUCACAGCGUACGCGAAUCUCGUUGAUCUGCGUUGAGAGGCGGCCUCUCGCAACAACUCCAGGGGAUUCCUCGUCCCUCAUCAGCAUCAUGAGGGAAUCCUUGAAUCCAACUUAGAUUGGAGCACUCAUUUCUAGCGCGCGCUCUCUGUGGCACACAAUUCCAUCUCUCUCCACUCCGUAGCAGGAUCAUGAUGAUGAUGUCCAUGGAGAACAACGAAGGAAUGGACAGCAUGAUCAUUGAAGCUAAAAGAGACAUUAAAGCAAUGCUCAGUUCGGAUUCCAAAAGAAAAGUUGAAACCAUUAUCCAGGAGGUUGAAAAGUUAUCAAAAUUUGACCGUCUAUUGUUUUAUUUAGAGCUCCCUUCUAAUCAGUCCAACGCACCUACUGAUCCAUUAAGAGGGCCUUUGAAUCCUUUGGGAAGUCGAUCUGAAAUCCAGCUGACAAUCACAUGGAUUAAAACUCAUUUAGAAGAAGAUCAACAAGUGUCUUUACCAAAGCAUGAAGUUUAUGACGAGUAUAUAGAAUAUUGUACGACCAACUUAUUAAAGCCUUUAUCUACUGCUGAUUUUGGAAAGGUUAUGAAGCAAGUCUAUCCUCAAGUCCGUCCAAGAAGAUUGGGAACUCGUGGAAACUCUCGUUAUUGCUAUGCAGGUCUUAAAAAGAAAACUAAAUUGGAAGAACCAGCUACUCCGGAUUUCAAUUUUAGAAAGCAAGAACAGACUGUAUCCGAUACUGAGGAUAGUGUCCUUGUUUCGGCAUCUUAUCUAAUUCGCGAAUGGGUCGAAAAACUAUUGGGCGUAAAAUUCGAAGGCUUAAAAGAAUUAGCCUAUUAUUUGCUAGAUAAAAUGUAUGUGGAUAAUAAAUCAUACGCUGCGUAUGCUCUUUUGUCUGGAAAGAAAAACCUGAAAUGUACUAGUCAAAACGAUAUUGUAGAUCACGGAAAUUCACAAACUCUUCACAUACUCAAUCAUGUAAAAGAGAGGGAAAUCAAGCGUAAAAGUCAGGAUUUAGAAAGGUAUGAAGUAAAUAGUAGUAUGCUUUAUGAAGAACCAGAGAGUCGAAAAGUUCUUAAGCUUCGGAAAGAAGAGAAUCAUCAAAAUGAUGAAAAUGAGUCUGAUAUUCUUCACAAAUCAACGCAACCACCUCCACAACCUGGGGAAAUAAAACUUGAAGAAGGGGGAAAGGCUCCAAUACUCUCUGUCUAUGAAGAAGUUACAGUAGCAGAUGUGGAUAUGACUAUCAUGAAAAAAGACGAAAGCAUGUGGACUGCCCCUGGUACAACAACGUCUUCCAACAACGCACAGACGACACUGGUCCCCAUUUUGAAUAAUAAUAACGAAGAGGUUUGGUUGCCUGUGAGCUCUUCAACUUCAAUAGUGAAUUCAGUACCCCACGAAACGGUAAAACCCCUAUGGGAUUCAUCAAAAAAUGAUCCAGAUGAAGAAAUAGGUACCUAUUUCCCAGAUAAUUCAAUUGAAAAUGAUGACAAGCUAUCUCAGUUGAGACAACUUCUAGAGAAGAAUUUAAAGUCUCCAACCGUUGGCAAUUCCUCUGCUUUUAAACCCACGCGAUCUAUAAAGGAAGAUGAAAAUGAGAUGGAGGGAAGGAACUCUGUUUUACAGCAUCAUGAUUGGUCCAACCCACUGCCUCAAGAGACAUCAAAUAAUAAUUCUCUCAACUCUAGAAGAAAAGUGAGUUUCAAUCCAAUGGUGAUUGAUGACCCUGUACAAAGUCCAGCUAUAGCUGCUGUUAAUUCUAAUAAUAGUCGUAAAAGGAAUUAUGGGUUUCAGCCUAUUUCCCCCCGACAAACGGGUUCCUCACAGCCACCCAGUCCGCCAUCUGCCGCCAGUCCUUUUAUCUCCCCUAGAUCGACGCCUGUGCCAUCUGUCCGAUCCCGUCAUAGUUCAGGGAAUAAUAUGUCUCUGAGCCUAUUACCCACCACACCUAAUAAUCGUUUUGUUUACGGGUCAAACGGGUCAGAUAUCUCUCGAGCUGCUACCUUUGGUUCUACUUCAGAAUGCAGUACACCUUUCAUAUCUCCACAAGCUACACCCGUACACUUUUCUAGAUCAAGGCAUAACUCCGCCCAGGGACGUUUAUGUCGAUCCAGACACUCAUCCGGAGUUGGGCACUACAAAUACGUCAACAACUUUUCCCCUGUUGCUCUCAAUAAUUUGAACAAUCCAUUUUCUCCUCAGCCAGGAACUCCUAUGAAUUUGAUGGAUGACUCUUACACCUCAUCCUCUUCAGUACAAUACUUUGAUUCUAAUGAUGUCAUGCGCUCUCGUCAUAGCUCCGGUGGUAGUGAACAGAGCAUACAGUCUGCUCCAAUUUCUCCAACGAGUAAUCUCAUGCUUCAAGGAGGAGGGGGGCCACUAGGAGGACUAGAGCCUCGUGUACGACAAAGACAUGCAUCUGCUGGCACUGUUCCCACCUAUGGAGGAGAACUAGGAGGACUUAGUGCUCUAGUUCAUAGCCAGCAGCCCUCACAACAAAUCCUUCCAGUGACUGGAGAAAAUAUCAUAUUAGAUUCUCGAACCCCUAAUCUCUUAGGAGGGAAGGGAGAGAAAAUGAUGAACGAUCCCUUGGGUAAAAAAGAACUUCCAGUGUCCUCCUCUGGUCAAAAUAAUAUGCCAGAUGAUCUAGAAAUGACCGUAAGGGUGCUCAAAGAUUUUGAUAAUGAUUUCUCUCAGUUUUGCACUGAUGAGAAUGUUGCUUAAGUUACAUACAUAAAUACAUACAUAUAAACACACACACAUAUUAUUAUAUUAUAUUAUACCUACACAUAAUAUUAUUAUAAGACUUAAGAGACAACUAAUUCCUUCCCGCUUCGAAAAAAAAAAGAUGUAAAAAAAUCAGCCAAUCAAAACUUAUAUAUGUCUGUUGAUAAGAAAUAUAUACUUAUUUUAUUAUUAAUAUUAUUAUAAUAUCCUUUUUAAGUGACUCAAAGAAAGAAAGAAACAAACAAAAGUGCAUCCCCCUAGCCUCCACCCCAAUCUCCCCCUCUUUAUAUCAUAUUAUUAUGAUAAUUUUUACUCUUUAUAAGAAAAUGUAAUGUUAAGACUCGUUUUUUCUUACACAUCUUUUAAUCUAUAUCAUCUAUUAUCAUUCUUCGUCAUAAUUCAUUUGAUUACUUACUUUGUUUAAUUCUUUUUAAUAAUUGUUAGCGCGUGAUGGUUUCUUUUUAUAAUCAUAUUAUUAUUCUUCUCUAUUUCUUAUAUAUUAUUACUAUAUAAAUAUGAUGUUAUAUAUUUUUUCGCUUGUCAUUAUCAUUACUAUUAUUAUAGAAUAACACUAUAUAUUUAUAUAUAUGAAAACAAAAGUCCAUUAAAACAAAAGGUUGCAGAGAGUAUAAUAAGGGAGAGGAUGUGUUUAUGGUGGAGAGAAAGUGAUUCUUCAGCUGAAUGACAGUUAAAUUCACAAUUUCUGAUCCCUUGGAUCUGUGUCCUUCCAUCACUCGUCGUAUUAUAUGUAUAUAUAUGUUGUGUACAAGUUACAAUUUUCUACGUCUUAUUUAAUUAUUAUAAUAUCCAUCAUUUUAAUAAUGAUAUGGAUGAAUGCUGUUAGUGUAUUUUGAUCUCAUAAAGUUACUUAUUUAUUACAUAGUUACAAGUAAUGUAGCUGUGGGUAUUUGAAAUUGAUAUUAAUGUCAAGUUCAAAUUCCGUACUUCUAAUCAAUGAGUAAUAUUUAUCAAAAUAGUCUGUACAGGUUCUUACUUGUUUAAGAAGAUUGUAAAAGUUACAAUUUAUACGUAUUAUUUAUUUAUUAGAGCAUCAGUCAUUUUAAUUACCAGCUAUGCAUUGAUGCUCUCAGUUAAAAUUACGUACGUAUUUAUUAUGUAUUUAUAAUUAAUAUAGAUAAAUGUGGCUAUUUGAACUUGAUAAACUGUCACGGAAUACCUUUUAUUAAUGAGUUAAUGCGUAAUAAAUUACGCCAUUAACAUCCAAAAUACAAUAAUUGUAAUUAACAACUACAUAUACAUUUAUAUUAUCAUUUAAUUUUGCUCCAUUGAAAUUGCAUAUUUAUUACAAGUAAUAUAACUCUGGGCAUUGGAACUUUAUAAUAUGCCAUAGAAUACUAAUUAUUAGCAAUCUAAAAGUACACAAUUUACACCAUUGAUGAACCAUCUUAAUUAUGUUCAUUGUGAGUAUAUGUACACUAAAUAUGCCACAGAAUACUUAUAGUUAAUUAUGUAUUUUCAAUAAUGACACCAUUAACUUAUCAGCCAUCAAAUACUGUAGAUUCGUCAUUUAAAGUCACUCAUUAUCACAUCUUUUGAGUUGUAACUUGUACACAACAUAUAUAUGUAUAAUUAAUUAUAUUAUCUCCUCUCUCAGUUACGUUUACGUACAGGGUAAUUAUCAUACUCAUUUGGUCAAUUGAGCUUUUCUUAAUAUGCCCAUCCCCCACUCCCCACUUUUCUUUAGACAAAGAAUAAAUCAUUUUAUCAACAAGCAUGUCCAUUUAUAUUCUCUUUUUUUCCAAUAUAUGAAUUCCAUUUUUUUCCCCUUAUUUUUUUUGCCAGUUUCAUAUUUGGUUCAUAUAUUAUAAAACGUUUUCUGAGCUGUGUAAAAUCAUCAUCAUCAUAAUGGGCUAUCUAUGUUCAUUUAUAUCUAUAUUUUUUAAUAGUAGAUGUUAUUAUGAAUUAUCUACAUAUAUGACGUGUUAUCAAUGCAGUAGUUGUGCCCAUCAGUGGUUCGUUUUAUCAGUUGUUGUUUUUUUUUCUCCUUUAAUUAUUAUUGACUUAUUU